GAACCUGAACCUGUUCCCAAUAGAUUCCGAAUUAAGAACCCGCAAAUCGUUCAAAUCCCACUUCUGCUUCAACGAGAUUGCCUUCAAUACAUCCUGAUUUCAACAAAUCAGGUAAUUAAAAGUAAAAGAUAAUUAAAAGUAAAAAAUAAAUGAACAGAAAGGUGGGAGGGAGUGAGAGGGGGUAAGGUGAAAUAGGAAAAGAAAUAAAAGAAGAGGACUUACAAAGAAGCAAGAAGCAGGAAGGGAGCGGCGCGGAAGGGGUUAGGGGGUUAGGGUUUUGCAGCGA
rnacentral:lncRNA from 1 species